GCUUGGAAGACUUGACUGUACAUCAUGUGUGCCACCAUCCCCAAGAGACCUGAGAAGAUGAGAGCAGAACAGCUGAAAUGGUUUUUUUUUUACAGCUCCAGCUACUGCUGGAAGUGCUCUGAAAGCUCCACUGCAGGCUUUGCUGCGUUUUCAUGCCUCCUGUUGUACUGUGGAGGUGUGUGCAGAGGAAAGGUGUGACUGAGAACUCGCUAUUUUACAUCAUACUGAAUCCUCAAUUAAGAGAAAUGUUAAAGAAAGAAAACUGCUGAAGAAAAUAUGGCACAAUCAGCAUCACCACCAACCUCACUGCUGCACAACAAGGGUAUGCCACCUACAAGGCAUCUCACAGCCCGACUCAGACAGGCCUCAGGAAACUGGAGGGAAUUGCUCAGCUGCUUGAUGUCAGUGUGACACACCGGGUAGUCAGGAGGAGGAAAGAGCAGAUCCCACAGAAUUUAGAUGGAUGUUUCAGCAAUGUUCAGCCCGUUUGCUGAGUGGGAGGCCAAGAUGACAGUCCAUUGACUCAGGGAAAGGAACACUCAUACCUGAAAGCACAGUGAAGACAGCAGCAAAGGCAUUUAACUUGAGCCCAUCUAUUACACUGCUUGAAUGAAAGAGCUCGAGGCACAUAAGGCUGAAUCCGACGACUAACAGCAUGAUGUAUAACACCUCAGAUACUACUGACAACCACAGGACACCUGCAAUGUACAAGAGGAGCAACUGGUCACUUGCUAAAUACUUCCAUGAGAUCAAAGUGUCUUGCAGAAUGAUUGUACUGCUGUGAGUUUUUGGAGAUCCACUCAUCUAUCUGCCUGCUGGGAUGAAUAUGAAAGCUGUCAGAAUACUGGAAGGGUGGAGCCAGGUCCUGAUGAAAAUCACCACUGCUGUCUCCCCACAGAACUGAAUUCCACCUUUCAGAUCAUCCCAGAAAAGGACUCAGCCUCUGAAUCAGCAGUAUUGGGUGCCAAGGAAAUGUAUUUUCUUGCAACUGUAAACGCGGUGAACAUCCUGUUCAUUGUGACAAGAUAAUUGUUAUUCACAGGAGUGCUGAAACUUGAGGAACUCGAGUACAUCAUAACCAUCUGACAAGAUCAGUCCCUUGUUCUUCUGUCAGAUAGUGGAGGGCAGCAUCAAAUAGAUUCAUAGAUACUAAGUGUGUAUCUUCAAAGGUGGUGAUUGUGUUGAGUGUAACUGCACAGUGACAACAUGCUAACAAAAGGAUGCUGCAGGCUGUUCUGGAAUGGAAAAAUGAGGCAAGCAGAAUUUAUUCUUGACAGUGAGAUAAAGAGGCUUUACCUCAGACUGUAAUGAGUCUCAAGGUUGAAAAAUUCUUCAUAAAACUUGAAUUUAUUCAAGUAUGUCAACCCUGAGCACCAGGCAAGGCACUGUAAAUGAACACACUAUUACCUCUCAGCAAGGAGCAUCCUGAAUCAGAAAUUUUCAAUGUUGAGCUUCCUUUGAAAAAGGAAUCCUGAAAAAUGUCACAGAAAUUGUACUUAGAACUCCAAGCAUCAGACCAUGUUUUGGUGAAUUCCUGAUUAAGCAGCUCGAAGAACAGUGUGGUCAAUGACUUCUUGAAGUUUUGAGCAGGUUUAGGCUUUGCAAUACCCAACUGAAGAUGAAACUGCAGUAACUGCUUCUGUCUUUGUAGGGUGUUCUGGUGGUUUGCAUCUGGCUUUUUUCAUUUGGAGAAAGAAAAACUAAGGGCUGUUCAGAGUACUCUGAAUACAAAUCAAAGCAUCGAGUACUCUUUGUUCAAACCCUGUGCAAUUUCCUGUCCUAAAAAACAGGCAACAGUUGUGACUGCUCCUUUUGUAUGAGAGAGAGCUCUGGUUAAACUGACCUCAAGAAAGUGAAGAAGUUAUUGUUCUGCACUUUGGUGCUUUUUCCUUACAGGAUGCAAAGAUGAUUCCUGCCUGUCUUGAUUUAGUAAAGCCAUUCCCAGACUUGUUUGCAAUUGGAGCUGAAAUAGCCAGAGUUUAGUGCUGUCUGAAUGAGACUGUGCUGAUAAAGAAGCCUUUGCCUCUGUUUAUAGAACCAUGAAGUUGCAUAAUUUCAUCUACUGCUCUGCUUUUGAGAAUAAAACCAGUUCUAAAGAGUAUAAAAAACACAUCUAUGCCUUCUCUCACAUGCAUAUACAACCAUGCUCAGUGUGUGUGAUAAUAUGCUUGCUGGAAACUCAGAACGUUGAUUUGUGAUGCCAGCUCCUUGUGCCAACAGUUUCCGAUGCCAGAUUGUAAGGCCUGUCUCUGGAUGAAAUAACGAUAUUGAAAUCCCAUCCUGGCCUGUUUCUCCAGGUGGUCAGGUCAUGAAAUUGACUGUCAAAGAUCCAAUAUUAGUGCUUGUUCUCAAGGCAACACUGAAGAGGCGGCUGACAGAGGAAUUGCUGUUAAGAGUUCAAAGCAUUUUUAAUCCAUAAACAUGAGCUGUUUGCUCGUAAAGAAUCUCUUCUGGGAAAAUCUCACUGCUAUUCCUGAAGGAGGCUGCUGAGUCAUGUUAACUGUGUUAUACGUGGUGCAGGCAGUAAUUGUGUGCAUGGAGAUAUCGUAUAUUUUGGCUGGUGGCUUGGAAAUGUGUGCUACCUGCCACACUGGUGGCACUGCUUCCUGAAUGCCCGCUAUUCCACAAGUGAUGCGCAUGGAGCUGUGGACCAGAGUCUGUAUUGAUUCCUGUGGGCCUUUUCCAACAGAAACACAGCUUCCUUAUUGUAGUAAACUAUAUUCAGGACAUUGCAGUGGGAUUUUAGCCUCUUUGGAAACAGCUCCUGCCUCUGCCUUGAACUGAAGGUGGAGUGUGGUUACUGCUCACCAGCUGUUGUAAUGGUAGAGCUGCUCUCCUGGUUGAUGGAUUCAAGGAUCUGACCAAAGUGGCCUCAUUUGAGCUGCGACAGUGUGCCACGCUGUCCCUGUGCAAGUCAUAAUACUGAGCCAGUGUGAGGACAGCUAAAGAAAUCUUAAAAAGCUUUAUACUUACUAGGUUCCUUGUAAUUCAGUGCUAAACAUCUGCUCUGACAGUCAAAAAGAAUUCUUCUGAGCUAUGAUGUGACAUCAUCUCAAAUCACUCCUCUGUCAACUCAAACUUGAUCUGUCUGGAAGUUUCUGAUACAAGCAGUAUGUUUUUGACAUCACACUGCAUAUGACAAAAAGACUCUAUGUGAUAGAAACAGACACUGAGCAAAGUGUCUGCCACACUGUGGAAAUCUAGUUAUUUCUUUAACAUUAUUUUCUUUAAUAUUCAGUUCCAGAACUAGUAGCGCGAUGCUGCUAGUGCGCUGACAGCCCCUUCAACCUUCAUAGAAUAGAUCCUGCUUUUCUGCUCUGUAGAGCAGUGAAUUGAUGUUUUCAUACAAGUGUCUGUCACCAGCCCAAGAACUCUAUCCUGAGUGGUUAAAGCUAAUUCAGAACCCAUCACUGUAUAUGUAAAGGUAGGAUUAUUUGCAUUUAUCAACAUAGAAUAUUAUCUGUCGAUCUCUUUCUCAGUAAUUGCAAUCUCAUUUUCCUGCAAUUCCUUUU